ACGUGCGCGAGUCGCAGGGUUGUACGAAACCCGAAGGCGCAACUAAAGUGAAUGAUCUUCGGAUCUAGGUGGGAUCAUGUGGUCACUCGUGGCUACGUGCGCACCACCGGCCUGUCUCAUUCGUGACGUCGAAGAGGCGGAGCAAGAGCGUACGCGUUGGGACCCGAAAGAUGGUGAACUAUGCCUGAGCAGGAUGAAGCCAGAAGAAAUUCUGGUGGAGGUCCGCAGCGAUUCUGACGUGCAAAUCGAUCGUCAAACUUGGGUAUAGGG
rnacentral:rRNA from 1 species